rnacentral:rRNA from 1 species
AGUGAACGCUGGCGGUAGGCCUAACACAUGCAAGUCGAACGGCAGCACAGUAAGAGCUUGCUCUUACGGGUGGCGAGUGGCGGAUGGGUGAGGAAUACAUCGGAAUUUACUUUUUCGUGGGGGAUAACGUAGGGAAACUUACGCUAAUACCGCAUACGACCUACGGGUGAAAGCAGGGGAUCUUCGGACCUUGCGCGAUUGAAUGAGCCGAUGUCGGAUUAGCUAGUUGGCGGGGUAAAGGCCCACCAAGGCGACGAUCCGUAGCUGGUCUGAGAGGAUGAUCAGCCACACUGGAACUGAGACACGGUCCAGACUCCUACGGGAGGCAGCAGUGGGGAAUAUUGGACAAUGGGCGCAAGCCUGAUCCAGCCAUGCCGCGUGGGUGAAGAAGGCCUUCGGGUUGUAAAGCCCUUUUGUUGGGAAGGAAAAGCAGCAGGUUAAUACCCCGCUGUUCUGACGGUACCCAAAGAAUAAGCACCGGCUAACUUCGUG